rnacentral:rRNA from 1 species
GUCCACGCCGUAAACGAUGGAUACUAGCUGUUGGAAGCAAUUUCAGUGGCUAAGCGAAAGUGAUAAGUAUCCCACCUGGGGAGUACGUUCGCAAGAAUGAAACUCAAAGGAAUUGACGGGGGCCCGCACAAGCGGUGGAGCAUGUGGUUUAAUUCGAUGAUAUGCGAGGAACCUUACCAAGGCUUAAAUGUAGAUUGACCGGUUUGGAAACAGAUCUUUCGCAAGACAAUUUACAAGGUGCUGCAUGGUUGUCGU